GGGGUCGUAGGGUAGCCUGGUAUCCCCCCAGCUUGGGGUGCUGGAAACCCGAGUUCAAAUCUCGGCGACCCCA
rnacentral:tRNA from 1 species